rnacentral:rRNA from 1 species
AUCCAAGGAAGGCAGCAGGCGCGCAAAUUACCCACUCCCGGAACGGGGAGGUAGUGACGAAAAAUAACAAUACGGGACUCUUUUGAGACCCCGUAAUUGGAAUGAGUACACUCUAAAUCCUUUAACGAGGAUCCAUUGGAGGGAAAGUCUGGUGCCAGCAGCUGCGGUAACUCCAGCUCCAAUAGCGUAUAUUAAAGUUGUUGCGGUUAAAAAGCUCGUAGUUGGAUCUCAGUUCGAGACGGGUAGUCCACCUACCGGUGGUCACCGCCUGUUCUCAACACCGGCCGGUUUCCCUGGAUGAUCUUCACCGGUUGUCUUGGGUGACCGGCAAGUUUACUUUGAAAAAAUUAGAGUGCUCAGAGCAGGCGCGACGCCUGGAUAAUGGUGCAUGGAAUAAUGGAAUAGGACCUCGGUUCUAUUGUGUUGGUUUUCGGAACACGAGGUAAUGAUUAAGAGGGACAGACGGGGGCAUUCGUAUUGCGACGCUAGAGGUGAAAUUCUUGGACCGCCGCACGACGAACUACUGCGAAAGCAUUUGCCAAGAAUGUUUCCAUUAAUCAAGAACGAAAGUUAGAGGUUCGAAGGCGAUCAGAUACCGCCCUAGUUCUAACCAUAAACGAUGCCAGCCAGCGAUCCGGCUGUGUUCCUCAAAUGACACGCCGGGCAGCUUCGGGGAAACCAAAGCUUUUGGGUUCCGGGGGGAGUAUGGUUGCAAAGGUUAAACUUAAAGGAAUUGACGGAAGCGCACACAAGGAAUGGGGCCUGCGGCUUAAUUUGACUCAACACGGCAAAACUCACCCGGCCCGGACACAGGAAGGAUUGACAGAUUAAGAGCUCUUUCUUGAUUCUUCGGGGGGUGGUGCAUGGCCGUUCUUAGUUGGUGGAGCGAUUUGUCUGGUUAAUUCCGAUAACGAACGAGACCCUAGCCUACUAAAUAGACGUUCCGAUCAUCUAUGUCGGACGGUCUUCUUAGAGGGACAAGCGGCGUUUAGCCGCACGAGACAGAGCAAUAACAGGUCUGUGAUGCCCUUCGAUGUCCGGGGCCGCACGCGCGCCACAUUGAAGGAAUCAUCGUGUGCUUUCCCUGUCCGACAGGAUUGGGUAACCCGGUGAACCUCCUUCGUGCUGGGGAUAGGGGCUUGUAAUUGUUCCCCUUGAACGAGGAAUUCCCAGUAAGCACGAGUCAUCAGCUCGUGUUGAUUACGUCCCUGCCCUUUGUGCACACCGCCCGUCGCUACUCCCGAUUGAAUAAUUUAGUGAGGUCAUCGGACUGGCGCACGGACCGGCCUUCUGGUCGCGCCGGUGCUGCAUCGGAAAGUUGACCAAACUUGAUCAUUUAGAGGGAGUAAA